rnacentral:sRNA from 2 species
AAUUCUUAUUAAUAUACUUUCAAAGUUCUUUAAGUUCUUUUUUCAUUAUCUGAUAUAUCAGUACAAAGAUCAGUUUCUGUUCUUCUUCUAAGAGUAUUUUAUGAUCUUAUUUUUUAUAUUCAGACAAACUGUCUCUGAUCAGUGUCUCUCUAAAUAUGUCUUCAAAUUUCUGGAAUUUGUCUGCUAUAAUGACUCUGAUCUUUCUUAAUACUCAGUCUUUUGAUAUAAUUAGUUUUCACUUUUUGAAAUUUCUGAUCUGCUCUGUUGCUUAAAUUUCUUUUUUUAUAACUUUACUUCUGAUUUAUUCUGUGCUGU